AGGUAUUCAUGGGGCCCUCCUGGUUGUGACUGAGUACAGCAUGAAAGCUUUGGCUUGGAGGGCUAGCCAGGGAUGCGUCCCUUCAGAUCAGUACUAACCUGGUGGCGGCGGUUUGGGACCUGCUCUCUGAGAAAUGCCUUGGAGGUUGCUGCGAAUCCUAGGUCACAGUUCGUGAGUUCACCAGCUGCUUCUGGCAAGUGAAGAGGACUCCCUGACUACAAUGGAUUUUGCUGACAUAAAGGAAAUCUUUAUGGUGAUCUUGUACCUGGAAAUCAUGGAUUAUUGGAUACAACACCUACCACUCCGCUCUUUUUGUUUAAAAACAAGUACUUAAACCCAAAAGAUAAAAAAUCCAAUAAAAUACUUUCAAGAAA